rnacentral:lncRNA from 1 species
AAACAAUUAGAAAAUCCUAAAAUAAUAAAAUCCAUCAAAGAAAAACAACAAACAAAAGAAUUAAGAAGAGAGUAGGGAGGGAAGAAACUCUAAUUGUCAAACUGUAAGGGUCUUUAGGGUGUGGCAACAUCUACUGGCUUACAGUGCAAGUUAUCCUCAAAGAACAGAAUUACAAUAGAAUAAAGCCAAAUGAGAGAGUUUGGCUGGAUAGUGAACUUUCAAGGCAUCCAAGGAAGACCCAGAAGUUGAGAGACGAAAGAAAUUCUCAGAGGUCAGCAAAGUUGAUGUUCCAUCUGAAGGACCUGAGGUCUCCUCCAUCCUACCAUGGUGACAACCUGCCUUGUCCUGAAGCCAAGAGUAUCUCUCAGAGCCCAAUGGAUGAAGCUUACCUGGGAGCUGGGACUAGGGGAGGUCAACAGAGGAUGGAAAGACUGAGGGUGUGUGGGGAAGUGGAAAUGGGCAGGGCUUCUUUGUGGGCUAAAUAGUAACUUGAAAAGAAUAGCAAGAAUAAAGUUUUGCACAAGUAUACAAACUCUGUGUAUCUGUGAUUAUCAUUGUAAUAAGAGAGCUUUCAGGUAAUGAACUGAACUAGUCCACUGUUGUAAACACUGCAUUACGGGCGAAGUUGGCCGUUCAUAUUUCUCAAGGAAGCUUGGCCUUUAUUCUGAUGGAAGUUGUGUUUCCUUCCUGGGAAAAUCUAACUGGGAAAAAAAUGUCUGCUGAACUCCUUUGCAGACUUGUAGAUGGUUUCUGAGUCACAUUUUGAGUAGUACCAAACUAGGAAACCACUAAAGUGGUUGAAAUUAAGCACAAAGAGUUGGAGUUCUGACAUCAGGC